rnacentral:lncRNA from 9 species
AUGAGUCAAUUUUUUCCAGCGUUUGGAUGUGUCAGACCACUCUUCCCUCUGGGUAGGAGGUUUGGGGGUUUGCACUUUGAGGGUUCAAAUGAAAACAGCCCCUGUCCUGCAGAUGCAGCCUCUUCUGGGAAGCAUGAUUUGUCUCCAAGACUGACCUCCUUCCAGUGCGUGUCCUUGGUGUGUGGACCACCAUCCAAGUAUUUAUUGAGAACACACUAUGUCUUAGGCCCUUUGCCUGGUGUUGAAAAUGCAGCUGGGAUCAAGACAGACACAUCACUUUAUGAGAUGGGAGAAAACAACCAUUUCCACUGGAGUCAGGUAAAGACUGCAGUUUUUCUGCCAAGAAAAGAAAAGAUUACAGAGGGAAAAAAAAGAAGACAGGAGGAUCCUUUGUUCUUGAAAAGAGACUUGAGAAAUUUCUGCCUCACAACAUCACACAGCUGUUUUAAACAACAUCUGAUGGAAUUGUUGCUGGUUGUAUUAAAAAAUAAUUGA